AUGAUAGUCAAUAUGGGCCCUCAACACCCCACUACUCUCCUCAUAGGAUACUUAUCAAAAGCUCAAUUUUGUACUGGAUCGAGGCAUCCUAUUAGUAAACCCAUUUGGACAAAUUUAUCAGAUUGGGAUAUUCUUGAUCGAUUUGGUCAGAUAUGUUGAAAUCUUUUUCAUUAUACUGCGACUGCCCGCCAUCGCGCCGGAGAAUGUCCACCUCGAGGUCGCGCUCGCCGCGCAGCGCCUAGCGCAGCAUGA
rnacentral:rRNA from 1 species